rnacentral:rRNA from 1 species
AGUGAACGCUGGCGGUAGGCCUAACACAUGCAAGUCGAACGGCAGCACAGUAAGAGCUUGCUCUUACGGGUGGCGAGUGGCGGACGGGUGAGGAAUACAUCGGAAUCUACUUUUUCGUGGGGGAUAACGUAGGGAAACUUACGCUAAUACCGCAUACGACCUACGGGUGAAAGCAGGGGAUCUUCGGACCUUGCGCGAUUGAAUGAGCCGAUGUCGGAUUAGCUAGUUGGCGGGGUAAAGGCCCACCAAGGCGACGAUCCGUAGCUGGUCUGAGAGGAUGAUCAGCCACACUGGAACUGAGACACGGUCCAGACUCCUACGGGAGGCAGCAGUGGGGAAUAUUGGACAAUGGGCGCAAGCCUGAUCCAGCCAUACCGCGUGGGUGAAGGAGGCCUUCGGGUUGUAAAGCCCUUUUGUUGGGAAAGAAAAGCAGCAGGUUAAGACCCCGCUGUUCUGACGGUACCCAAAGAAUAAGCACCGGCUAACUUCGU